CAGCAGCCACGGGAAUACAGAGGGUGCAAGCGUUAAUCGGAAUUACUGGGUGUAAAGCGCGCGUAGGUGGUUUGUUAAGUUGGAUGUGAAAUCCCCGGUCUCAACCUGGGAACUGCAUCCAAAACUGGCAAGCUAGAGUAUGGUAGAGGGUGGUGGAAUUUCCUGUGUAGCGGUGAAAUGCGUAGAUAUAGGAAGGAACACCAGUGGCGAAGGCGACCACCUGGACUGAUACUGACACUGAGGUGCGAAAGCGUGGGGAGCAAACAGGAUUAGAUACCCCCGUAGUCCCUGUCUCUUAUAC
rnacentral:rRNA from 1 species